GCCCCCCACGCGGCCCCCGCGGCGGCCGUGCGCGCGCUCGGUUCCCUGCGCUCGGUGGGUUCGGCGGCCGCAGCGCGGUAUCCCUCCGCCGGGGUCGUCACCCCGGGGUCCGCGCCGGGACCUCCCCUCCGGCAGGGGGCGGGAGGGGCGAGAGAGGCCCGCGGGGCAGCGGCGCUCCGCGGGGGGCUCAAACGCUGGCCGGCCGCUGUGCAGGAGCCGGCUCUGCUCCUUUAAGAGGGGGCCGGGCCGGCGGUGACCCCGCGCGAUGUCCGCCUCUUCCUGGUUGCUAUAGUCACCGCCUUCCAGCGUCCCAAAAUGGCGCCGUGCUGCCCGCGGAGGCGUCCGAGGGUGCGUCUCGGCCCUGAGCGAGGACCGCCGGCGGCCGCUGUCACCUGGCGCGAGGGAAAGGCAAGAUGAGCUGCGCCUCAGGGUAGCUGGAUUUGAGAAAGAAAAUAGUCCAACAACUCGCUCUAGGAGAAUAAAGCUAAAUUGUCUGUCGGGGGAAUAGGAAGACUGAAAACAGCCAAAUGGUUUUCUUCCGGAGAUGAGGAAACUUGUCAGUUUCCACUUAUGAAACAAUCUGCUUCCUGGUCACUGCGGUAUCUUUCCUGUGCAUUUCUUCCUAUUAGAACUUUUAUUGUAAGCAAGAGGUCUUUUGAAAGCCUGGUGCAAAGGCAUUGUUAUUUGCUUCGUCUUCUGGAAAAUUGUGUCAUUUUAAGUUUUAAGAUCAUAUUUGACUUCCUGUGCCAAAAUCACAUUGCUGACUUGAUUGUCAUUUGAUCAAUUAUUAUCCCAAUGUCUGUCUUCCCAUUGUCAGUUUCCAGCUCAACCUUUUGGCUAAUUGCAGAAAUUAUUCCUAAAUGAAUGACCUUGCCAUUAGAAUUUUCAAUUUCAUUUUUCUCCCCCCAGCAGCCUUUUGAGUUUGUUAUGGAAAGGUUGCUGUACAUGUCAGGACAAAUGUACUACAGAGAGAACAGAUUUGGCCAUAAAAUCUCUGUAUAUACAAGAAAUUCUGGUAAAGUUUAUGGAAACAGUGGAUAAUUCUGAUUUUGUGUGUGCAGAACGUAUAGAAUGGGAAUUUUUGUCUUGAGGCUACCAUCAAGAUGGCAACUUGUUUAACAUGCCUUUCUAGCUACCUUUCAUUGUGCAUGUUCUUCAAUCAUUUUUGAAAUGCCAAAUUAAUAUUUGAUAUGCCUGUUAUAAUUUGGCAAGGUAGGUCACCAACAAUAGACAUUAUCUGUUUGUACAAAGCAGGCACUAAGCCAUAUUGCUUCCAACGCUGAACAUAAAAUCACUCCAGAUAACCACAUAAGUAACCUUUCAAAAUAAAAUUUCUUACCAGUGAUCUUACAGUUGACAAGUACAGACUGUAAAAAUUGCAAGAGAGGAAUCCAGAUGGUAGGGUAGUAUGGAAAAGGUCUGUCACUCAUGUAACAAGCUAUAGAGACCAAAAAAAAUUCUUAAUCUGCUUAUAGGACAGGCUGAUAACUGGAAAGAUGAAGCUGGUAACAAAAGAAACAUAAUGAGAAAAUGAUAUACUCAAUGUGUAAUUAAUACUAGCAUCUGUCACCUCACAGACGCUGCACUAAUCAGAGGAUUCUGUCAUGAUAGUAAAAUGUUUAGAAACUUAACCUGUAAAAUAAUGGAAUCAGAUGUAUAUAAAAUUUGUGGUGUUUUGUGCAGUAUUCUAUACAUGAUCUGCUUGUAUAGUGGGAUAGCUGAAUUUUAUUGAAUGUGUGAUUGCAGAAUUGUAUGUAUGGUCCAGCUAGACCAGUAUACACCAGCUAGACUCUGUAACAAAUACAUACAGGGCAUGUGGAUGUGCAAAUAGUGUAAGUAACACUAGGCAAACAAUUCUGACGACUGUUCUUGUUCUUUACCCAUCAUUGCUUCUUUUGUCUGUUGUUCAUUUCUGCAUCUUAAGUUGUUUUCUGAUUAAAUCAAUGCAUUCUGAGCACAACGUAUUAUUUUGAAUGCUGUGAGUAGCACAAUAUUUUCUUAAAGUAACAAUCUUGUAAUUAAUUGUUUUCUGGAACUUUUAGUGCUAAAUAGAAAUUCCAAACCUGCAGCACUUAAUCUCAAAAGCCACUUAAAACUGCUUUUCAAUAAACAAUGUUAAUAAAGAUUAGAAAAAUAAAAAUUAAAAAAUAGCAUCAUCGAUAACAUUUCAUAUUGCUGUUCUACCUUGAGCUUGUUGAGCUUGUUGGUAAAUCUUAAUGCUGACACUUGGUGUAUAAUCUGUUUGAUUAACAGAAGAUGUCACUUUGAAGUGCUUAAGCAAAAUGGAUUGGUGGGGAAAAAAAAAAAAAAAAAAAAAAGAUGUUUG